rfam:Oryza brachyantha chromosome 11, whole genome shotgun sequence.
AAUAACCUCAUUUUUCGUUUUUCCGUGUGCAACGUUUGACCGUUCGUCUUAUUUGAAAAAUUUAUUAAAAAACCUUAAAAAAUUAGUCACGUAUAAAGUACUAUUCAUAUUUUAUCAUCUAGUAACAAUAAAAAUAUUAAUCGUAAAAAAAUUUCAAAUAAGACGAAUGGUCAAACGUUAGAAAAAAACAAAAAAUGAGGUUACU